GAUGAACGCUGGCGGCGUGCAUAACACAUUCAAGUCGAACGGUGAAGGGGCUCCGGCCCCGGAACAGUGGCGGACGGGUGGAGUAACGCGUGAGCAACCUGCCCAAGUGAGGGGGAGUAACGUUUGGAAACGAACGCUAAUACCGCAUAACGUGUUUUUAAGGUCAUCUUAGGAACACCAAAGGAGAAUCCGCACGAGGAUGGGCUCGCGUCCGAUUAGGCAGUUGGUGAGGUAACGGCCCACCAAACCUAUGAUCGGUAGCCGGACUGAGAGGUUGAACGGCCACAUUGGAACUGAGAAACGGUCCAGACUCCUACGGGAGGCAGCAGUGAGGAAUAUUGGUCAAUGGUCUGACGACUGAACCAGCCAUGCCGCGUGAAGGUGACGGCCCUA
rnacentral:rRNA from 1 species